UACGAAGGGUGCUAGCGUUGUUCGGAUUUACUGGGCGUAAAGCGCACGUAGGCGGAUCGUUAAGUGAGGGGUGAAAUCCCAGGGCUCAACCCUGGAACUGCCUUUCAUACUGGCGAUCUCGAGUCCGGAAGAGGUGAGUGGAACUCCUAGUGUAGAGGUGGAAUUCGUAGAUAUUAGGAAGAACACCAGUGGCGAAGGCGGCUCACUGGUCCGGUACUGACGCUGAAGUGCGAAAGCGUGGGGAGCAAACAGG
rnacentral:rRNA from 1 species